rnacentral:rRNA from 1 species
AUGGCUAAAUCAGUGAACCUGAAAGUUGGUUGGGGUGAAAAAGGGGCAUCCGGCGAGGACGCUACCCACCCGAAGCCAGCCAACGGGGGACCUAUACGCCAUGCGGCGGCGGCGCCGUCGCCGCAGGAGAAGCACGCAUCACAUGUGCCUCGAACAAAGUUACCGGGAAACCAGACUAGCAACGUGAGCCUUUUGAGUUGCAACUGCAGAGGAGGAGGGAAUUCUCGGACUGCUUGUGAUCUUGUGAGCUUGGUGCAGACUCAUUCCCCCAGUAUUGUUUUCCUGUGUGAAACUAGGCAGUCCAAGGAUAGAAUGAAAAGAUAUAUGCCUCGUCUAGGGUUAAGAGGCUUUGAUGCAGUCGAUAGUGUUGGUUUGAGUGGAGGUCUUGCUCUCUAUUGGCAUGAGUCAUUGACUCUCGAUGUAAAAUCUAUGGACCAAAGGCAUAUUGAUGCAUACGUGAGUGGUGCAGCGGGUGAGCCCCCUUGGAGACUUACUUGCGUCUACGGCGAGCCAAGGACGGAGAACCGACACCGCAUGUGGUCUCUCCUCCGUGAUCUUCACCAACAAGCUGACAUACCGUGGAUGGUAAUUGGAGACUUCAAUGAGGCUAUGUGGGGUUUCGAACACUUCUCCGAGACUCCUCGUUCAGCAGGUCAGAUGAUUGAUUUUCGUGAUGUUUUAGAACUUUUUGGCCUUGGUGAUCUUGGGUUUUCAGGCCUCCCUUACACCUAUGACAACCGCCGCCAUGGAAGGGCGAAUGUCAAGGUACGUCUCGACAGGGCAGUGGCGUGA